AUAUUGCGUUAGGGAUUGAAGUGGAAAUCCUUUUACUUUUUUCUUUAAAAAGUAAAAGAUUGUAGCGGAAAGCCCGACCGCUU
rnacentral:sRNA from 1 species